AUGGCCAGGCUGGGAGCCCUUAACGUCGCGCCACCGAGGACGUGCGUCAGCGCCGGCCGUGCUGAGGCACAGCGGCGCUCAAAUCGUGAGUCUGAUUGUUUUUCUGUUGGCCAGAUCCUUGUGAAAUGUCUCAUUGCAAGAAGAAACGGAGAAGAUCUUGUGGUUGCUAGAAGUGGUUGGUUUUGCGCUGACAGAAGCGCUGCUCGCAGCCUGCUCACGGCGCCGUUCGAUUCCCGCAGCUCGCUGUGCUGGGAAUUGCAGCUCCUGCAGUCUCCUGAGAACAUUUUUUCUGAGUGACUCCGGCUUCCAGAGACAUUUGCCAUGAGAAGGGUUCCAAUCCUUUCCUGUAUUUGCCCUGAGUCAUGAAUGGAUAUGUGUGAUGCCUGCAAGUAAAACUGGUAAGUUGUCAAGCCUGAGUUUGCAAUAACUCUCACUUAUUCUUUCCUGCAAAUUAUCUUUCCCUCAUUUUUUCCUCCCCUUUUUGGCGGGGGGGCUGUAUUGUCUGUGUUUAAAAGCAAGUCCACCACUAUUCUUAACCCAAAAAAAACCCCAAAGCAACCUUCAUUGUCAUGAAAUAGCAGAAAUAUAAAAUACACAGAAAAAACCAGUCCUUUCCUUUCUUUCUUCUCUUCAUCCCCCCGAAUCCUGUGAACUGUGAGGUCUUUGUAGGUGAAACUGGAGUUCAGUCAUGCAGGCAAAGCUGCUGCCCAAAACUGAAGCCUCGCAGAUAGACAGGAUCUAACCCCAGCUUAUGUGGGCAAUUCGUGUCGUGAUUAAAUAUGGAUAUGGAGAGGUCUCCUGGCCAUCACGUGUCGCAUGAUGGACUCUCAGAGGAGCCAUUGCCAACAGAUAAUUGGCUCCAGCAUUUGCUGCACUUGCAUCCCAGUGACAAAAUGGUGUCACUGGUACACAGGAGAGCUGUCCUGCCGCGUGUGCUCCACCUCCUGCUGCUGCCCAGCCUGGGGGACACGGGGACAAAGCCUUGAGCAGCCUGUUUUGGUCAGGCUCCAGAGGGUGCUGGGGUGAGACCCCUCCUGUGCUGCCUAUCCUGGCGGGGUUACCCUCCCUGAGAAGCCCCUUGGUCCCUUUUCUGCCAUGCAAGGGGUGGUUGUGCCUUUUCCAGCUGUCCCCAUCCCCCAGGAGCCUGGCAUGGGGAGUUUUCCAUGCCCACUCCUCUUACCUGCCUCCUCCUGAUUGCCUCUCUUAAUAACUGGGGUGAGAGGAGGGGCAAUUUAGUUUGGGAAAACAAGAAUCAUCUCAUUCUGCAGCAAAACUGGAAAGCCAGUGUAAGAAAUCUUUCAAACCCAGGAAAUCUGCAUAAUUAAAUUGUGUAGGAAUUGGGAGCACAAAUUGUUUUUUUAAAUAAAUUCAGGUUUCUAUUAUAUAUUUAAUAUCCC
rnacentral:lncRNA from 1 species